CCUACGGGGGGCUGCAGUGGGGAAUAUUGGACAAUGGGCGAAAGCCUGAUCCAGCUAUGCCGCGUGAGUGAUGAAGGCCUUAGGGUUGUAAAGCUCUUUUAGGUGGGAAGAUUAUGACGGUACCACCAGAAAAAGCCCCGGCUAACUUCGUGCCAGCAGCCGCGGUAAUACGAAGGGGGCAAGCGUUGCUCGGAUUUAUUGGGCGUAAAGGGUGUGUAGGUGGCUGUGUAAGUUAGAUGUGAAAGCCCUGGGCUUAACCCGGGAAUUGCAUUUAA
rnacentral:rRNA from 1 species